rnacentral:rRNA from 1 species
GCAGGUACCGCAUGAAUAAGGACCGGCUAAUUCCGUGCCAGCAGCCGCGGUAAUACGGAAGGUCCGGGCGUUAUCCGGAUUUAUUGGGUUUAAAGGGAGCGUAGGCCGCGCCUUAAGCGUGUUGUGAAAUCCGGGUGCUCAACAUCCGGCUUGCAGCGCGAACUGGGGCGCUUGAGUGCGCUGAAAGUAGGCGGAAUUCGUGGUGUAGCGGUGAAAUGCUUAGAUAUCACGAGGAACUCCGAUUGCGAAGGCAGCCUACUGUAGCGCUACUGACGCUGAUGCUCGAAAGCGUGGGUAUCGAACAGGAUUAGAUACCCUGGUAGUCCACGCGGUAAACGAUGGAUGCUCGUUGUCGGCCCUUCGGGUCGGUGACCAAGCGAAAGCGUUAAGCAUCCCACCUGGGGAGUACGCCGGCAACGGUGAAACUCAAAGGAAUUGACGGGGGCCCGCACAAG